rnacentral:snoRNA from 1 species
GUAAAAUGAUGAUAACCUCAUGCGUGUCAUUUGACCCUCAUUUUAGUCUGCUCAUGGGGAAACACUGGAUGUGUUUUACAGUCAGUGUGUACCCUGAGCAGUCUGAUGAUGGGUGUGAUUUGACUUGGUUGCUGAUUAC